rnacentral:lncRNA from 1 species
UUUGGUUGCCCCAAUUGAUGUUGUUGUUCCUCCUGGCAACACAGGGCUCGAUCCCUCCCAGACCUCUUUCUUCCAGGUUGGUAAUCUUCUGUUUGUAGAAUUUGGGGGUGGUUGAUUUGUUUUGGUUUUUAAAAACUAUUAAUAUUUUAAAUAUUACGUUGAGUAGAAGUGGGGAAAGAAAAAACAUUAGUAACGGAACCAAAACAAAUUUACAGAUUUUUUAUAAGAGUUCUGUUUUUAAAAUCAAGGAAAAACAGGUCAAGAUUAUUUUGUUUUCAUGUCAUGUUUAUGCUUAGUUUCUGUAUUUCAGGUGCUCAACAUUCCUACCAAGAUUAACAAGGGUACUGUUGAAAUCAUUACCCCUGUGGAGCUCAUUAAGAAGGGAGACAAGGUUGGAUCUUCUGAAGCUGCAUUGCUUGCCAAGCUAGGGAUAAGGCCCUUCUCGUAUGGGCUUGUGGUUCUUUCUGUUUAUGAUAAUGGUUCAGUGUUCAGCCCUGAGGUUCUUGAUCUUACUGAGGAUGACCUUAUUGAGAAGUUU